GCUUGCACGCAUUCUUGUUCCCGCGUCUCUUCAGCUCUCAUCUUCUCUCUCUCCAACUGUGUCCAUCUUUUUCCAAGUUCCAGGCCUCUCUCCAUUUGCGGGAAAGCAGCAAUGCAACCCUACAAAAGGUAGCUUCUGAAGGUUUUUUGUAUCCAUGCGGGGUGCGGCCUUCUUUCACUACGAUUUUUCUUACCGGACGGUCUACCUUCAUCCUAUGUUGUUUAUAGAUACACUUCAAGGUUUUCAACUUUCAUCUCACCCCAUCUUGUAUCAACAGUGACCCUACCAGCUCUACAUGGAAUAGGACAGGUAUGGUUAAACCCAAUUUGGGUUAAACAGAACCAUUCUGAACCUGUCUCAUUGGCAUACUUAUGCAUUCAGGUAUGCUUCUGCUCAUGGUACUCAUGAUAACAUUGGGAACUUUUGAUACGAAGAAAUAGGGAUUUUGGUUUGGAAAUAGGCAGGGGAUAAUGGACUAUUAGGUGGCCCACAAAGAGUUGAGGCCUAGUCCAUUGAGAGCCCCACCCAGGUUGAAAACUCGUGAAAUUGUUCAUUUUUUAUAAAUAACAAGGUAUUUUAUUGAUUUCCAUGAGAAAACCCAAAAACUGUUCAUGCUAGACAGUAGGGCCAAUACAAUUCAGGCACAAGCUUAGAAAAUAAACAACAUAAAAAUUAUGAUAGGAAAUUACAACAGAGCCCCAGGACCGGGCAUUUCCCCAAUACACCCUUGAUUUGUUACACCAGAUCUUGCGAAACUGUCACCUGUCAGCUAGGAAAACAUAACAUUGUUCAGUUUUGAAGUCUGAAAACUCAACCUUCUUGAUAAAAUAGCAGACCCAUCCUGCAAAACAGAACCUAGAUGGGUAUAGAGCUGUUACUAAACAAAAGUGUUUCUUCUUGCACAUGCCUUAGCUGAGUUAUUGGUAACAGCAUUAGUCUUAGGAAUCCAAACAUGAAUAUUGGAAAGGAUUUUAGAUAUCUCAAUCAAGUAGACUAUUAACCUACCUGAAUUAGAACCAGCUCUCCUAGCUCACAGUAUAGCAUUUGCUGAAUUCUGAUGAUGCAACAAAGACUGCAGCUGCAUUGUUUUAGCUAUCUUUGAUCUUGUACAGGAUAUACCUAGAUCCAAUUUUAUUUUUUUGAAAAAUAAAGAGAAAAUUCAUUAAAAUAAAAAGAAAUACAUAGGAAGGUUAACUCCUCCAGUACCAACACCUAGACCCAAGACAAAAGGACAAACUGAAAACCAGAAAAAGGUACAAACAGAAGAGAUAAUCUAAUAUUCUCUAUUAACUCCUUUUGAUUGUCGCCAUAUUCAUUCCAUUUCCCUCUUCCAGUUAACCCCUUUUUCGAGCUUUCUUCUCUCUUCUUCCUCUCAAACUCUUCACAAGCUUAGUUGGAUCAUAUUUACAUUUAAAUUUAGAUAAAUGGAUACCAUUUGCAGUACUAAUCCUGUAAGCAGGUUAAGCUUUGUAUGGAUGCACAUCUCUGGUUAUUCCACUAAAGUUCUAGACAGUAGAUAUUUCUGCUUGUCCUUUGUUUACAGGAGCUCCAAGUCAGAAUUCUAUGAGACGUGUCCAUCUACCUGUUAGAUGGAAAAUCCCCUUGCAUUAUUUGAUAACAUAUGUUAUUAUGUUUGUGUUUGUAUUUAGUAAAACUUGCUUUAUUAAAGAAUUUCCAAUUUAUCUCCUCGUUAUUUCUUUUUAAUUUGUUACAUUUCUUAGUUACUCUUUUUGGCAUUUUUCCUUGUUGCAUAGAAGGUUUAAGCUCACUACAGGUAUUCACAUGCAUAGCAGCUGUUUGCUAUUAUUCACUUCACUAAGUUGACACAUCUGCACUCUGCAGUAGUCUGUCCCCCCUAAAAUCUUAAGCUUCAUAUGGUUUUGGAUUUACAGAGCCACCAUGAAAUUGUAGUUUUAAAUUUCUUUAUAGUUAGGCUAAAUAAUGGAAGAAGUUUUGAAAUAUGAAUAUAUGAUUUGGGUUGCAAGGGGCAAGUAGGAGAAUCAUGUCUCUUAAUAUAGUAGUAUGUUGUAUAUGGUGUUUAAUCUACUAACAACUUAUUACUUGUUACAUAUAGGGGUCAUUUCUUGGCAUAAUGGUAAAAUCUCAUGAUGACAAAAUAUCAGGCAUGGGACAUUUCAUGGUUUUCAUAUUGAAACUAGAGGUGGCACCCGUUUUAGCUAUCUUUCUGGUAGCAGCAGUUAAGUGGCACUGUUGUCUAAGUGGUGGCUUUCAAUAGGCCUCCGCCUAUCUGAACUGAGGAGUCUGUCAGUUUGCUGGGAGCUUGUCAGUUUGCUGGGAAACAGACAUGGAGUCUUUCAGAUAGGAAAUUGUGGCCAAUAACAUGGGAAACAGACAAAACAGCAUGGUUUUUGUUAACCAAAGUGCCUGUCAGUUUGCUGGGAGCCAGCCAGUACCAUGUAAUCUAACUUUAACCUGCAUUUCCUUGAACCCAGUAUGCAAUGACAUUGGUCUUUGCCUCGCAUGGUAAAAGAACAAUACAUGAAUUAUGGGUCAGAUAAAUUACAACAUAGAACCAAAUCAGUAUAGAAUUUCAGCUCUUUGGUUAUUCCUUCAUUAAGCUCCUGACAUGAAAUGAUAAGCCCAAAUAGACCCACCCAUUCCAGAAUCCACCAGUCUAGUUACUUUCAUUUUGAAACCAUCUAUCACUCUCCCUCUCCAAAUAUGAAGUUGGUAUGCUAACCCCAUGCUCCCUCAACUUGUCACUUGUCACCACCACCGACCAAGGAUGUGGACAAUGAAAGAAUAAAAACAUAAAGCUAAAAACUGCUGGGAGAAAGUUCGAAGGAUGUUGACAAUGGUAGUUACAUUAGCUAAAUUUAAGCUUAACUAGUCAAUUGGCGUCACCUAUUGGCAUCAUAACAAUGACGAACGAGAGCACACCCACCCCAGUUAUCCACUUAGUCUACCCCAAGUCAGCCCGCACAGAUGUAGAUGGUCUUGACACAUGCAAAAGAAGGCCUGGCAGUUGAUUGACAAGGAUAACACACUUGGUUAGGUGAACCUAUCUACAAGAUGUUAAGACUUAGAGUCUCAGACCACUUGUUCACAUUACCCUAUUGCAAAAUAUUUGCAGAAGCCAGACCUAAGCUUACUCUUUAAAUGCAACUACUAGAAAAUUAAGUGCACUAGGACAAAUUAACCUCACUUAGGAGUCUCAGCAGCUGCAAACAUGCCUCCACCUCCCAAUUGUUCAGGUUGCACCUGAACUAAGGACACCAGGAGAUGCUUGCCUCUGAAAAUCAAAACAAUCUCAAGCAAUAACACCCCUAUUGGCCAAAUGAGUCAAACUUUUGGCUUAACUCUGUUGAUCUUGCACUAUACUGUGUGCUUACCUGUUAAAGUAGUGAAUGGAAAAGAAUAACCUUCCCCUUACCUGUUAAAGAGAUGAAAAUUCUUGGAUCCUUUGCAGAAGGGUUCAGAUUUGAUAUUUAUCAGCCUGAUUUAGAAUCACCUUCCCCUUACCUAACCCAAAAUUCUAUGCUAUAUAAUUCUGAUACUUCUGUGUUAAUAUUAAAAUGCUCUUUCAUGGUUUUGAUAUUGAUGUUUAAAAAAAACCUUGUUCUCUGAAUCAGCAAAGAUCAUGAACCAAUCUGUUGCACUGCCAUUGAAACUGGAUAUAAAUGUCUAUGUUUCUUUAUCAGUUUGAUAAUUUUCCAAUGGUCAUGUAGUGUAAAUUUUGCAUGAGGAAGAACAAUCAUUUUAUGGAUAAUUGCCAGCCUUCUCUCUUGCUUCUUCACACACUUCCACUCCCGAAUUGCAUUUUUCUGCUUCUUUUUGGUAAUAAGAAGAUGACUUGUUUGCCUCUAGUAUCAUUACCCUAUGUAUUCAUUGUUGUUGAAAUUGACAGAUCGAAGUUUAUGAUCCAAAGUGAAAGUCUUGAGUAUGAUGCACUUGUAUAUAAUCAACUGUUCAGAUGCAAUGAGGAUAAUUUUGUUAAUUCUUGUCUUUUUUUGUGAUGGAAAAAAAAUUAUUAAAAGUGUGUAUUGAACAAAGACAACUAUGAAAAUUUUGUGUAAAUUUGUAUAGUUUUA